CAGUUGGAAGAAAAAAAAAACAAAACAGCGAUCCGUCCUGCACAACUAUGCCGACUGACUCGAAUUGCCGGUGCCGGAGGCGAGAGCGUGAAACAGCAGCAGGGUCCACGUGGAAAUUUGCCUGAUAUUCGGCUCAACAUUCAAAGACCGAUUCUAGCAGACCAGACUAAUGUGCUGACAAGCGGUAGUUUUGUACCUAUCGAGGCCAAUGUCAUUCAGCGAACCCCCGGACCAAAUCGACUGUCCAAGAAGAAUUUGAAAAGAUCGGCGGGGGUAGUGGUGGCUAUACCCUGUUCACCACUGGCCAUAGAACAGCUACAAAUUCCUUAUAAAAAGGCUCGCAAGGAUGCCACACAUAAUGGUUUAACUCCGGAGAAUAUUACCCAGGUUAUACAGGCAGUCAUAAAUCCGCAAAUUGCGCCACAUGGAGCGGCAUGGACUGAUCCCAAACACCGGGUGAUCGGGGACGUGGAGGUGUAUGUGCAUGAGUCGCCUACAGAGACCGUCACUGUGCAACCGGAUGGGACUAUACAGCACGCCCAUGGAGAUCCCCAGUGUGCGCCACCACCAGAGCUGACCGCCGACGAUUGGGCUGGUCUUGACGACAUCUCGUCCUGGACUUCAUCGCUGUUGGAACAUAUCGACUUCACUCCUGCGCAGUGGAUCGACUCUCCAGCUACAUCCGUAGAGGCUACCACCAGUGCAGAGCCUGUACAACACCAUCAGCCUGCAGAUCCUGCAUCUGGACCCCUACAAGCCGUUCAAGACCCUAUGAGCGACCCCCCGUGCACCGUGAGUCCCAUCGCUCAUGAGGUAGCGGUGCCGAGGCUACCAGCCGGUCCCGCAAUUGCUGUUGAUGAACACCAUGCAGGGGUGCAAGGUGAUAAAUGGCGUAAACAAUUUGCUGAUAAACUAGCUGUGUUAACUGCGUCGGUAGAUGUAAACUCCUUAGGCAUUGCUCGUCAGCGUAAACUGGGGGUGGAGGCUGGUAAACGUGUUGACAGUAUAUAUCAGAAGCUCGAAGAACAGACGAAGAAGUCCUUCACGGCUCUCAGGGCCGAGAUUGCGCGUGAUCGUAUGACUGCUGAAUCCCCAAACACUGAGACCAGUAAUGGUCGUGCUAUCGUUGCCCUUCAGCGUAAGCAUUUGGAUGCCGUGGCAGCUGUGCGUGUCAACACGCAGGGCAUAGUGAGAAUUAACGCGCAAGAGGGGUUAAGAGCUGCUAAAACCGCUCGAAAAUUCUGGUUAAUGCAAUCUGCUAGCGAAGCCAACGUCAAUGCCUAUCGGGCAAUGAGUACCGAGAUGUCUGUGAUUAAUGAAACACUAGCAAAGCUUACGAUGAAUGCUAUUAUUUGAUUUGUGUUUUUGUUUUUAAUGUUUUUUUCUUUUAUUUCAUGGAGAGGGUAUCUUUUGUUUUAAACUGCAUGUAAUAAAACUUUUUUUCUUUUAAUACCUGACUACUUAACGUUUUUUUUUUUUUUUAAAUAUUAUUAUUUAUAUAUAUAUAUAUAUUUUUUUUUUCUAUCUAUUGGCAUAAAAAACUAUAGCUGUACACUAUGCAUAACGCCAUUAGCCCUAGAAAAAGGAAAUUCAAAUCUAUAGACGUAAUCCCAAGAGACGGCGUAGAU
ensembl:lncRNA